rnacentral:snoRNA from 1 species
AGGUCAUUUCCAAGAGAGCUUGUGGGACAGAAAUCAGGAGUUCUUAACACUGUGACCAAAGGUUGAGGUUCUCCACAGGAUGACAGAUACUCAAUAGUGCUUUGUCUUUUCCCUAAGGGAGAUAAGA